rnacentral:rRNA from 1 species
UACGUGGGUGGCAAGCGUUGUCCGGAUUUACUGGGCGUAAAGGGCGUGCAGGCGGUCUGUUAAGUUCAGGGUGAAAGCUCUCGGCUAAACCGGGAGAGGUCGUUGGAUACUGGCUGACUAGAGGACGGUAGAGGCGUGUGGAAUUCCGGGUGUAGUGGUGAAAUGCGUAGAGAUCCGGAGGAACACCAGUGGCGAAGGCGACACGCUGGGCCGUACCUGACGCUAAAGCGCGACAGCAUGGGGAGCAAACGGG